UACGAAGGGGGCUAGCGUUGUUCGGAAUUACUGGGCGUAAAGCGUGCGCAGGCGGCUGCUCAAGUCAGGGGUGAAAGCCCAGAGCUCAACUCUGGAAUUGCCUUUGAGACUGAGUGGCUUGAGUACGGGAGAGGUGAGUGGAAUUCCCAGUGUAGAGGUGAAAUGCGUAGAUAUUGGGAAGAACACCGGUGGCGAAGGCGGCUCUCUGGACCGAUACUGACGCUGAGGCGCGAAAGCGUGGGGAGCAAACAGG
rnacentral:rRNA from 1 species